rnacentral:lncRNA from 1 species
UGGCCAUUGGGACGCCUGGGGAGACUUGCCAAGCUGCCAAAAUAUUUGGACACCCAAAUGCUAGUGUUCAAACGCAUUUCUCCAUCAGGAUUCUGACUUCAUCCUCCUACUGCAUAUUUCUGCACCAUGUCCUUGCUUUCUGUCCUUGCAUCGUGACGCGUACCGGUGCGGCUUCGUGCCCCAUCGGAGAUGGUUAUCAGCACAAUGAUUUAAUGCCAAGCAAUGCAAGCAGGCAGUGUAAUGUCAGUGCUAUCUCUGCUCUCACCCCUCCAGCACUUUCAUAUCCUGCCGUGGUAACGCAAAGGAUUAAAGCAAAGAUGGGAGUGCUGAUGGAAGGGAGUGGUGUUGAUCUCAUCUCGUGUGCUGGUCCCACACUCCGCACCCAUUACAAUGAAAGAUCUUGUUCUGCAAGCACCACGGCUGAAAUAAAGAGGAAUUACUUGUUUGUAGCUUGGUGGAGAGGGAGAAGUCCUUGUCUCUGCUUGAGAAAUUGCACUGGGAGCUCAAAUGAGCCAAAUUUCCUUCAAUUUAGAGACAAUGCAAAGUGAUGGAUGGGUGACCGUCAUGGUGCUACAGCAGGU